CCACCUGUUCCAGGACGUAUAUUCAAUUUCAUGGGUCUAAAUCACUGAGCAGCUUUUACCACUUGUAGUUCGGAGAACUUCAGCUUGAGGUAACAGCGGAGAAAGCUAACAUUGGAGCUGCAAUAGGUUUCGUUUUCGGGAUUCUUUCGUGGCAAAUAGCACAGGGCAUCUAAAGCGUUCCGGAGAGUUCAGUGGAAUAUGCAAAUGACAAUGCUCUGCUUCUAGCUAAGUCAUUAAGGUGAGCACUACUCGCACUUUUCUAUUCGUCCACGAUCUUGUCUGUUUUUACCACCAUCAGUCUAUUCUUACUUGGAAG